AGGAGAUGCAGAGAAACUGACCAAAGGAAGAAAGUCACUUCCUGUGGUCAUUCCACUGUAACAGUUCAGCUAUUUUUAAUAAUCUGUAUAAUUCCUAUAUAUCCAAGUCUAGACAGAAAACUGUAGUUCUUGGGAAAGCUGUAACUCAGUGAUUGACAACAACGAUGAAGUUUGUUAAAACUUUACCUAAACACAUAAACAAUGAGAUUCUUUUACAGUCAAAGAAUACUUGUUGGUAAAUCUCACCUUAUCAAAGAGAAGUAUCAUUAUACUGUAACUUUGCACCUGCUAUAACAUUACUUACAGAUCUGGGCUGCCCUGAGAAUCUCCGGUUAUAAUCAUUAAUAUCUUGACGCAAUGAUACAACAUCCUGAGACUGGUCAUUUUCACCAAAUACUGUUAGCAGUAAAGUUACCUGUAUAUUACAAAAAACAAACAAAAAAACACUGUUAAACCUUU